rnacentral:lncRNA from 10 species
GGAUGUUCGUGAGCAUGAACUAUGCUCAGGAUAACUACAGCAUCGAGGAUAUGGUGAGGUGGCAAGAGAUGAAGGUGGAAGGUUGAGUUUGGCCAGUGAGUGCUGCAGGAUACUGGAGGGAGGGCAACAGAGAGGAAGGUCACCUACAUGUCUAUGUUCAGAAGCUGCCUUGAUGCCACAUGCGGGAGGCUGGAAACGCUGAAGGAUGACCACUGCUCAGCAGCAGUCUACCAGUGAUGGAUGAGAGUUGGUGCACAAAUACCCCAGCUCCCUUGCCUCUCAGUUUGGAUAAUCCUGAAAAGGUGUGUACUAUGCUAUUUCUGAGAUUAAGCCCUAGUUACCCAUAGUGGUAGCUAAAUAUAGUAGUUGGCUGUAUUCUCCAUCACUUCUUGAAUCCCCUGCCAGUGUUCUCUGCACCUCCUUAAUAAACCACUUGAAACAAAAAUCAAGUCUUUCUUUCUCUCACGGUCUGCAUCUUGGGGAACACAAACUAAGACACAGUCUCAAAAAAGUUAACAUUUGUAAAACAUCUAGUUUAUUUUUUCAUCUUACCCUACAAGUAAUAAAAAAGACAAAAAAAACCAAAACAAAACACCUUUCAUGGGAGAGGGGACAUUCAACUAAGAUGCUUUGAGUUGCUUUUCCUGUUAACGUUAUGCCAAAUUUAGAAGAAAAGAAUGCCAGAAGAGGGCAGAGGAUAUGUAUUAUGUCUAUAUCUUCGAGACAUGAGGUCUUGCUAUGUUCCCCAGGCUAGAAUGCAGUGGCUAUUCAUAAGCAG